UUGAACUCAUAAUCGUGCUUAGAGACUGCAAUAAAAUAUGUACAGUGAAAAAGGAGUUAUGUUUUGGUCUGUUCUCACCCAAAACCAUCUGGGUCACUUCAGAAGACUCUGAUUAAACCACUAGAGUACAGAUAUCUCCUUUGUGGAGCUUUUGGAGUUUUUGGUCACCAUUCACUUGCAUUUUGAGGACCUACAGAGCUGAGAUAUCUUCUAAAAAUCUUCGUUUGUGUUCUGCAGAAGAAAGAAAGUCAUACACAUCUGGGAUGGCAUGAGGCUGUUCCGGCACUGUCGUCACAUUUUAGGAAUUCCAAGACGAAAUCCUCACUUCCGAUGGAUGAUUGAAUGAAAGACAGUCAGAAAUCUACCAGCAUUCUUUACUUCAAAGUUCUGGAGACACAGAGUGCAGCACAGGAAGGCAGUCAGACUACGAUGGAGACGAGCCAUGGAGUCUGGAGAAAUCAUCUUACAGCAACUGCUCAGACACAUUAACACUGGAAAAAUUCAGCCUCUGUCUGCUCCGAGCUGAAAAUGAUAUGAGGUAGGAACUGUGGACAACAACUGAACUGAAAAUAUCAGUAGAGGUGAGGGCCUUUUCCACUCAUGUAUGCUUCAGUUGUUACUAGGGCUGUCGAUUUCACACGUUAAUUUAGUGUGAUUAUAUUAAAAAUAACACAUGAAAAAAAUUAUUAUGAAUCAUGCUCCUUGACCCAUACGUAUAAAUUAUAUAAUAAAAGUACGUAUUUUCCUUUUGUUGAAGCAAUACGAGCUUGAAGUACUUUUAAUUUCGUGUUUUUACCAGUUGCGUCAGCAGGGGGCAGUCAGCAUGCCUCAACAUACCUUACAAGCAGAACAGCUACAAAAUGAGAGCUGGUCACACAGGAUGCAUUCUUGACAGCUGGACGAAGCACAACAGAAUGCAGGGAUCUCGAGCUAUUUUCCAAAUUUAAACUACUUUUAACUUGACACAGCGUCCUAACAACGCAGUGCUCAUUACACUAAACACCAGUGAGACACACCAAAAGCAUCUUGUAUUAAUUAAAAGGUCAAGUGGCCAGUAAGAACAGGACAGAUUGACAAACUCCAUCACAAAAUGGAUUUCUGUCAACUGUAGGCUUGUUUAAUGAUAUGGUAAUAAAACAAACAAUAGCAUUUUGACUUCUAAAGCCAGUUUUUAAAUGGUCUAAUCAAUGCUUUACUCAUCUGCCACAAUAAUCCAAUAUUUUUAAAUCUGAAUUAUAUAUAAUUUAUAAAUUAUACAUAUAUAUGUCAUAUGUCCUUUCAGCUUAGACCAGUCUGGCCAUUCUCCUCUGACCUUAGUUUUUUGCACCAUUCUCUUUACACUCCAGAGACUGUUGUGUGUGAAAAUCCCAGGACAUCAGCAGUUACAGAAAUACUCAAACCAGCCCGUUUGGCACCAACAAUCAUGCCACAGUCUAAAUCACUGAGAUCACAGAUUUCCCCAUUCUGAUGGUUAAUGUGAACAUUAACUGAAGCUCCUGAUCAAUAUCUGCAUGAUUUUAUACAUUACACUGCUGCCUAAUGAUUGGCUGAUUAGAUAAUCGCAUGAAUAUGUAGAUGUACAGGUGUACCUAAUAAAGUGGCCGAUGAGUGUAUAUUAAAUCACUAUCUUUAUUUGGGGGCCUUUCUAAGCAAAUAUUGAUAUAUGCGAUAAAUAUGCGAUUAAUAUGAUUAAUUAGCAGGCUUAUGUAAUUAAUUUGAUUAAAAAUCUUAGUUGAUUCACCAUUUAGAGCAUCUGCAGACAAGUUUUAAACAAACACUUUAUUUCUGUCUGAUUUAAGGUCCAGUGAUGCUCAGAUGGGCCUCCAACUAAAGUCAAGCAACACAAGAAUAAAACUCGUUGCCAUUCGACAUUUUAAGUCUACAAAUAGUCUGUAAAAAAACCAUAGUUUUGUCAGAUCAUAGUUUUGUUUGUUUAUUUUUAACACAUUGCCAGCUUUUAUGGUUAUUUUCAAUGCGAAAUCCAGGAUAAAAUAUAAUAAUAGGUCCCCAGAUCGUAGCUAACUCGCAACGCAUGCCCAUCAGUGAAGCUCUUCUAAUGGGCACCCUUGGUUUAAAAUUAGAUUUUUUAAAAUCUGGCCAGCUAGUCAUCAGGUGAGCGCACUGUCCUGAUUAGCCAGAGAGCAGCAAUGAACAAUAGCCAAUUAAAUUACUAUGUGCGCAAGUUUUGAUGAGAACAAAUUUUGGGAUUGUUCCUCUAGUCGAAAAGAACAAUGUUCUUUUAGUUCACUCAUCUAAAUUGUAAUUAGUUGUGUAAAAUGCACAACAACAGAAAACAAAAUAUGGGGCAAAUUGACUAAACAGUUGUGAUACUUUUGCGCAGUUUUCAGCGCUAAAACCUGUUUUAUUCACCCACAAUCUAGUUUAAGCAGGCGCAAUUAGCGCUGAAAUAAUGCUGUGUCUUAAGUAUUUGAAUUAAGUCAUUAUCAUUCCUUUCUGCGUAAACAUGGCUAAUUUUCAGGCCCAUUAUAGAUUGUGCUUUAUUUUCAAAACCUUGUGCUAUUUGACCUGCGCAAUAAAUACUGCACUAUUACUGCCCGAGGAAAGCAGGCGGUAAACUACAUUUUAUAUAAAAAAGAUGUUUGUGUACAUUUUCUAUCAAUCAUGGCAGUAGUAAUUCAUCAAAUAAUGAUCAAAUGAUGGCAAAGAGCACUAUAACCUGGCAUAUACCUAGAUGCACUGUGUAGUGAAGCACACUUUCAGCAUGUUAAAGAGAUGAUUCAGUCUGGAUCACAGUAGUGGACUGAUGCUGUGCAGUCCCGGCAGAGCAUGUCAGAUCAAGGUGGUCUGCUGAAUCCAGCACAAUAUAGUGCUCAGAAACAACCCGCAAGAUCAGAAUUGCACUGUGCAAAUACAUUCAGCAAAAAUGUUGUGGCCACGUUUGCAACGUUGCCUGAUCUGCAUAAUUCUUUUAGUGAAUCUGGCAACUAACCAGCACAGACAGCUUGUAAAUAAACAGUGCAUUUCAUUCUUCAUUCAUUUUAAUUUUGCACAGGGCGAUGACCCACAGUUGUAUAGUGCACUUGGCUUUUUUGCUAAUUUCCAAACAUUCUAAAACACUCCAUUUCCCAUUUUGCACCUGGAGACAGAUGAGUGAUGAGGAAGGGCUGGGAAGGACCGGCAGGUGGGCGAUCUGUCUCGUCCGUGUUUACAUUUCACACACACCUGCAAAUUCACUUUGGGGAAUGAGAUCACUGUCACCCAACAGUGAAUCGCUGACUUCAGCUCUGAAGGGCUGCUGAAUUGUGUACUGAGAUUGGAGAGCAUUUGCAAUGCACAGGCCAGGCUGUCAGAGCACUGUUUAAAUCUGUCAUCAUAGUGGUGCAAAUUUAAAAGGGCAUUAUGUGAACCUUCAACACAAAAUAAAUCAUAGGUCAGAAAACCUCCAUCUUUGGGCCACCGCAUAGGGGAGCGGAAAACGGUGAAUGUGCAUCAGAGAAAACAGCUUCUUCAAGUCUCUCUUUGUGUAAAAAGGGAAGGAGAAGUCGACGCCUUACAGUGAAAGCCUGAUAUUAUAUGGGUGACACCUUUUUGGCAUCUUCUGCAUUUCCUCUCCCCCCCAUAAUUCUUGAUACUAACAAUCCCGAAUGCAAAUAAAACAUAAAAAUCUUAAAUGCAGCUGUUUCUCUAAACUUGUCUUCAUUUCAAAUAAAAUCUUAACGAACAUCGCAAUAGUUGCAUUGGUAACAUUCAUAGACAAGAUUGAAGUUUUUUUCCAAAACCUAGUGAGCUUUCACUUUCAUUGCAUCUUUUUUCCCACACAAUAAAAGUUAAUAGUGACUGAGGCCUUCAGCCCCCAAAAUUCCACCUGAGAUCUCCUUAUGUGUUCCACGGAAGACAAAAAAAAUCAUACAGGUUUGUAACGACAUGAGCAAAUGAUAUAUCCCUUUGAGCCAAUGUAGAGAUUUUAAACUAAUGUUUAAUUUCAAAGGUCUUAUCAUGAGUUAAGAGUCGAUAUUCCUGUCAUGGUGAGUCGUCUUUGGGUAACAGCUGCAGACAGAUGAGGACACCAGAGGGAAGCAUCAUGCACAGGUGCUGAGGCGUAAUUACUGAUGAGGUCACAAAGGUGCACGGCAAAUAUAUUAUGCCACAUCUUACAGAGCAGCUCCAG